ACUGCCCCCUAAAGGCUUGCAGGUGUGGCUGCUGUGUCACAUGUCUAUCAGUAGGUGGCAGAAUUGAGAGAGGCCAUGUCUAUGCUCAGUGUUCUGACCUAUGAACAUCUGAAUGAUUAGUAGCCUAACAUC